GGGUUGUGAGGUUAAGCGACUAAGCGUACACGGUGGAUGCCCUGGCAGUCAGAGGCGAUGAAGGACGUGCUAAUCUGCGAUAAGCGUCGGUAAGGUGAUAUGAACCGUUAUAACCGGCGAUUUCCGAAUGGGGAAACCCAGUGUGAUUCGUCACACUAUCAUUAACUGAAUCCAUAGGUUAAUGAGGCGAACCGGGGGAACUGAAACAUCUAAGUACCCCGAGGAAAAGAAAUCAACCGAGAUUCCCCCAGUAGCGGCGAGCGAACGGGGAGCAGCCCAGAGCCUGAAUCAGUGUGUGUGUUAGUGGAAGCGUCUGGAAAGGCGUGCGAUACAGGGUGACAGCCCCGUACACAAAAAUGCACAUGCUGUGAGCUCGAUGAGUAGGGCGGGACACGUGGUAUCCUGUCUGAAUAUGGGGGGGACCAUCCUCCAAGGCUAAAUACUCCUGACUGACCGAUAGUGAACCAGUACCGUGAGGGAAAGGCGAAAAGAACCCCGGCGAGGGGAGUGAAAAAGAACCUGAAACCGUGUACGUACAAGCAGUGGGAGCACAGAGCAAUCUGUGUGACUGCGUACCUUUUGUAUAAUGGGUCAGCGACUUAUAUUCUGUAGCAAGGUUAACCGAAUAGGGGAGCCGAAGGGAAACCGAGUCUUAACUGGGCGUUAAGUUGCAGGGUAUAGACCCGAAACCCGGUGAUCUAGCCAUGGGCAGGUUGAAGGUUGGGUAACACUAACUGGAGGACCGAACCGACUAAUGUUGAAAAAUUAGCGGAUGACUUGUGGCUGGGGGUGAAAGGCCAAUCAAACCGGGAGAUAGCUGGUUCUCCCCGAAAGCUAUUUAGGUAGCGCCUCGUGAAUUCAUCUCCGGGGGUAGAGCACUGUUUCGGCAAGGGGGUCAUCCCGACUUACCAACCCGAUGCAAACUGCGAAUACCGGAGAAUGUUAUCACGGGAGACACACGGCGGGUGCUAACGUCCGUCGUGAAGAGGGAAACAACCCAGACCGCCAGCUAAGGUCCCAAAGUCAUGGUUAAGUGGGAAACGAUGUGGGAAGGCCCAGACAGCCAGGAUGUUGGCUUAGAAGCAGCCAUCAUUUAAAGAAAGCGUAAUAGCUCACUGGUCGAGUCGGCCUGCGCGGAAGAUGUAACGGGGCUAAACCAUGCACCGAAGCUGCGGCAGCGACACUAUGUGUUGUUGGGUAGGGGAGCGUUCUGUAAGCCUGUGAAGGUGUACUGUGAGGUAUGCUGGAGGUAUCAGAAGUGCGAAUGCUGACAUAAGUAACGAUAAAGCGGGUGAAAAGCCCGCUCGCCGGAAGACCAAGGGUUCCUGUCCAACGUUAAUCGGGGCAGGGUGAGUCGACCCCUAAGGCGAGGCCGAAAGGCGUAGUCGAUGGGAAACAGGUUAAUAUUCCUGUACUUGGUGUUACUGCGAAGGGGGGACGGAGAAGGCUAUGUUGGCCGGGCGACGGUUGUCCCGGUUUAAGCGUGUAGGCUGGUUUUCCAGGCAAAUCCGGAAAAUCAAGGCUGAGGCGUGAUGACGAGGCACUACGGUGCUGAAGCAACAAAUGCCCUGCUUCCAGGAAAAGCCUCUAAGCAUCAGGUAACAUCAAAUCGUACCCCAAACCGACACAGGUGGUCAGGUAGAGAAUACCAAGGCGCUUGAGAGAACUCGGGUGAAGGAACUAGGCAAAAUGGUGCCGUAACUUCGGGAGAAGGCACGCUGAUAUGUAGGUGAAGUCCCUCGCGGAUGGAGCUGAAAUCAGUCGAAGAUACCAGCUGGCUGCAACUGUUUAUUAAAAACACAGCACUGUGCAAACACGAAAGUGGACGUAUACGGUGUGACGCCUGCCCGGUGCCGGAAGGUUAAUUGAUGGGGUCAGCGCAAGCGAAGCUCUUGAUCGAAGCCCCGGUAAACGGCGGCCGUAACUAUAACGGUCCUAAGGUAGCGAAAUUCCUUGUCGGGUAAGUUCCGACCUGCACGAAUGGCGUAAUGAUGGCCAGGCUGUCUCCACCCGAGACUCAGUGAAAUUGAACUCGCUGUGAAGAUGCAGUGUACCCGCGGCAAGACGGAAAGACCCCGUGAACCUUUACUAUAGCUUGACACUGAACAUUGAGCCUUGAUGUGUAGGAUAGGUGGGAGGCUUUGAAGUGUGGACGCCAGUCUGCAUGGAGCCGACCUUGAAAUACCACCCUUUAAUGUUUGAUGUUCUAACGUUGACCCGUGAUCCGGGUUGCGGACAGUGUCUGGUGGGUAGUUUGACUGGGGCGGUCUCCUCCUAAAGAGUAACGGAGGAGCACGAAGGUUGGCUAAUCCUGGUCGGACAUCAGGAGGUUAGUGCAAUGGCAUAAGCCAGCUUGACUGCGAGCGUGACGGCGCGAGCAGGUGCGAAAGCAGGUCAUAGUGAUCCGGUGGUUCUGAAUGGAAGGGCCAUCGCUCAACGGAUAAAAGGUACUCCGGGGAUAACAGGCUGAUACCGCCCAAGAGUUCAUAUCGACGGCGGUGUUUGGCACCUCGAUGUCGGCUCAUCACAUCCUGGGGCUGAAGUAGGUCCCAAGGGUAUGGCUGUUCGCCAUUUAAAGUGGUACGCGAGCUGGGUUUAGAACGUCGUGAGACAGUUCGGUCCCUAUCUGCCGUGGGCGCUGGAGAACUGAGGGGGGCUGCUCCUAGUACGAGAGGACCGGAGUGGACGCAUCACUGGUGUUCGGGUUGUCAUGCCAAUGGCACUGCCCGGUAGCUAAAUGCGGAAGAGAUAAGUGCUGAAAGCAUCUAAGCACGAAACUUGCCCCGAGAUGAGUUCUCCCUGACUCCUUGAGAGUCCUGAAGGAACGUUGAAGACGACGACGUUGAUAGGCCGGGUGUGUAAGCGCAGCGAUGCGUUGAGCUAACCGGUACUAAUGAACCGUGAGGCUUAACCUUACAACGCCGAAG
rnacentral:rRNA from 1 species